AUUGAACGCUGGCGGCAGGCUUAACACAUGCAAGUCGAGCGGAGAUGAGGUGCUUGCACCUUAUCUUAGCGGCGGACGGGUGAGUAAUGCUUAGGAAUCUGCCUAUUAGUGGGGGACAACAUUCCGAAAGGAAUGCUAAUACCGCAUACGUCCUACGGGAGAAAGCAGGGGAUCUUCGGACCUUGCGCUAAUAGAUGAGCCUAAGUCGGAUUAGCUAGUUGGUGGGGUAAAGGCCUACCAAGGCGACGAUCUGUAGCGGGUCUGAGAGGAUGAUCCGCCACACUGGGACUGAGACACGGCCCAG
rnacentral:rRNA from 1 species